rnacentral:rRNA from 1 species
ACAUGACUACAACAUAGUGUUAAUGCACCAGAUCCCAUUAGAACUCCAUAGUUAAGUGCACUCAAGCUAGAUUAGUAUUGGGAUGGGUGACUGCCCAAGAAGUCAUAGUGUUUUACAUGCC